ACGGGAGGCAGCAGUGAGGAAUAUUGGUCAAUGGGCGAGAGCCUGAACCAGCCAAGUAGCGUGCAGGAUGACGGCCCUAUGGGUUGUAAACUGCUUUGUAUGGGGAUAAAUUGCUCCACGAGUGGAGUAUUGCAGGUACCAUACGAAUAAGGACCGGCUAAUUCCGUGCCAGCAGCCGCGGUAAUACGGAAGGUCCGGGCGUUAUCCGGAUUUAUUGGGUUUAAAGGGAGCGUAGGCCGUGGAUUAAGUGUGUUGUGAAAUGUAGGCGCUCAACGUCUGACUUGCAGCGCAUACUGGUCCACUUGAGUGCGCGCAACGCGGGCGGAAUUUGUCGUGUAGCGGUGAAAUGCUUAGAUAUGACGAAGAACCCCGAUUGCGAAGGCAGCUCGCGGGAGCGCAACUGACGCUGAAGCUCGAAAGUGCGGGUAUCGAACAGGAUUAGAUACCCUGGUA
rnacentral:rRNA from 1 species